rnacentral:rRNA from 1 species
UAGGGAGUCUUCCACAAUGGGCGCAAGCCUGAUGGAGCAACACCGCGUGAGUGAAGAAGGGUUUCGGCUCGUAAAGCUCUGUUGUUAAAGAAGAACACGUAUGAGAGUAACUGUUCAUACGUUGACGGUAUUUAACCAGAAAGUCACGGCUAACUACGUGCCAA